CGGUGUUUAACUGGCGUGAUGUGGGACGUCCUACCGGUGGGCUUAGCCUCGCGAGGGGCGGCCCAACUAAUAUCCCGUCGCGGUGCUCUUUACUGAGUGUCGAGUCGGGCCGGUACGUUUACUUUGAACAAAUUAGAGUGCUUAAAGCAGGCUAUCCUCGCCUGAAUACUGCGUGCAUGGAAUAAUGGAAUAGGACCUCGGUUCUAUUUUGUUGGUUUUCGGAACCCCGAGGUAAUGAUUAAUAGGGACAGAUGGGGGCAUUCGUAUUGCGACGUUAGAGGUGAAAUUCUUGGAUCGUCGCAAGACGGACAGAAGCGAAAGCAUUUGCCAAAAAUGUUUUCAUUAAUCAAGAACGAAAGUUAGAGGUUCGAAGGCGAUCAGAUACCGCCCUAGUUCUAACCAUAAACGAUGCCAGCUAGCGAUCCGCCGAAGUUCCUCCGAUGACUCGGCGGGCAGCUUCCGGGAAACCAAAGCUUUUGGGUUCCGGGGGAAGUAUGGUUGCAAAGCUGAAACUUAAAGGAAUUGACGGAAGGGCACCACCAGGAGUGGAGCCUGCGGCUUAAUUUGACUCAACACGGGAAACCUCACCAGGCCCAGACACCGGAAGGAUUGACAGAUUGAUAGCUCUUUCUUGAUUCGGUGGGUGGUGGUGCAUGGGCCGUUCUUAGUUGGUGGAGCGAUUUGUCUGGUUAAUUCCGAUAACGAACGAGACUCUAGCCUGCUAAAUAGGCGUACCUUAUGGUAUCGCGAAGGCCCCCGGCUUCGGCCGGUGGGUUUUUACUACCAACGUACAAACAAAUCUUCUUAGAGGGCACAGGCGG
rnacentral:rRNA from 1 species